UAGAGUUUGAUCCUGGCUCAGGAUGAACGCUAGCGGCAGGCUUAACACAUGCAAGUCGAGGGGCAUCGGGAGGGAAGCUUGCUUUCCUUGCCGGCGACCGGCGCACGGGUGAGUAACACGUAUGCAACCUGCCCUCUUCAGGGGGACAACCUUCCGAAAGGGAGGCUAAUCCCGCGUAUAUCGGUUUCGGGCAUCCGAGAUCGAGGAAAGAUUCAUCGGAAGAGGAUGGGCAUGCGGCGCAUUAGCUUGACGGCGGGGUAACGGCCCACCGUGGCGACGAUGCGUAGGGGUUCUGAGAGGAAGGUCCCCCACACUGGUACUGAGACACGGACCAGACUCCUACGGGAGGCAGCAGUGAGGAAUAUUGGUCAAUGGGAGAGAUCCUGAACCAGCCAAGCCGCGUGAGGGAAGACGGCCCUAUGGGUUGUAAACCUCUUUUGUCGGAGAACAAAACCCGGGACGUGUCCCGGACUGCGUGUAUCCGAAGAAAAAGCAUCGGCUAACUCCGUGCCAGCAGCCGCGGUAAUACGGAGGAUGCGAGCGUUAUCCGGAUUUAUUGGGUUUAAAGGGUGCGUAGGCGGUCCGUUAAGUCAGCGGUAAAAUUGCGGGGCUCAACCCCGUCGAGCCGUUGAAACUGGCAGACUUGAGUUGGCGAGAAGUACGCGGAAUGCGCGGUGUAGCGGUGAAAUGCAUAGAUAUCGCGCAGAACUCCGAUUGCGAAGGCAGCGUACCGGCGCCACACUGACGCUGAGGCACGAAAGCGUGGGGAUCGAACAGGAUUAGAUACCC
rnacentral:rRNA from 1 species